UUCAAAAGGAGAAACUCCCCUAUCACCACUCCAGAUCAAGUAGAUUAGCUUGUGGGCUAAUCUAAUAAAACAGAAAUCAGAAAAGAUGAGGAAACUGAAGCAAACAGUUAAGUGACUUGCCCAAAGAACACAGCUAGACCAGUUAUGAGAUUAGAGAUCAUCACCCAUCUGAGGAGAAGGCAACACCAUACUUACUCACCAGAGGACAGCUUCUGCAUUACUUCCACAACCAGGCCUCUAGUCAACAUUACGUCCAGCUCAGCGACGACAUCCUAAAAUAACAUAGAUAAUGAUCCCUAAGAGUGUCUGCUGGAAAUACUCUCCUCACGAUAGAACAAGACAAAAGAGUUUUCAAGUUCCCCAGUUGCAUCCCAAACCUGUACCAUUAAGACUACAAUUACCCAAGAGCUCUCAUGAUCCCAUGAAUAACUCCCUUAGACAUGAGUUACCUACACCCUGGACAAAGGUUAGUGAAACUUCAGUUUCCUACUGUUUGGACCUUGUCCCUGUUCCAGAGUGGGAGCUGAUCCAUUCUCCUCCAAAUCUCCCUCUUGUUCCUGAGGCAACAGAGGUUGUAAUUGUCCAAAGCCCCUCACCUCCACGAAGGUCUAGCUUAAACAGGUAUAGUUAUCUAACCCACUGCUUCCCAUUAAGUUACCAGGCAACCAAAAACACUCCAAUGAAAUCCUUGAAAAUUCCAAAGUCCAAGGAUUCCAACUUCUGUCAAGAUUUUAGGAGAUCUUCAAAGGAAAACGAACAAGUUUUAAGUCCUUUUCACAUUGACCUGGCUCCCUUAGUGUUCAGUGAGCAGCUAUAUCCAUUUACUCGAAAGAGUCAUGCCUCUAAGGAAGUAGAUAUUCCUGUACCUCUUUGGUCUUCUUAGUCCCAGUGACUUAAUAAAUCUCUGAUUGUAAAUCAAA